rnacentral:rRNA from 2 species
GCAAGUCGAACGAUGAUGCCCAGCUUGCUGGGCGGAUUAGUGGCGAACGGGUGAGUAAUACGUGAGUAACCUGCCCUUGACUCUGGGAUAAGCCUGGGAAACUGGGUCUAAUACUGGAUACUACCUCUUACCGCAUGGUGGGUGGUGGAAAGGGUUUUACUGGUUUUGGAUGGGCUCACGGCCUAUCAGCUUGUUGGUGGGGUAAUGGCUCACCAAGGCGACGACGGGUAGCCGGCCUGAGAGGGUGACCGGCCACACUGGGACUGAGACACGGCCCAGACUCCUACGGGAGGCAGCAGUGGGGAAUAUUGCACAAUGGGCGGAAGCCUGAUGCAGCGACGCCGCGUGAGGGAUGACGGCCUUCGGGUUGUAAACCUCUUUCAGUAGGGAAGAAGCGAGAGUGACGGUACCUGCAGAAGAAGCGCCGGCUAACUACGUGCCAGCAGCCGCGGUAAUACGUAGGGCGCAAGCGUUGUCCGGAAUUAUUGGGCGUAAAGAGCUCGUAGGCGGUUUGUCGCGUCUGCUGUGAAAGCCCGGGGCUCAACCCCGGGUCUGCAGUGGGUACGGGCAGACUAGAGUGCAGUAGGGGAGACUGGAAUUCCUGGUGUAGCGGUGAAAUGCGCAGAUAUCAGGAGGAACACCGAUGGCGAAGGCAGGUCUCUGGGCUGUUACUGACGCUGAGGAGCGAAAGCAUGGGGAGCGAACAGGAUUAGAUACCCUGGUAGUCCAUGCCGUAAACGUUGGGCACUAGGUGUGGGGGACAUUCCACGUUUUCCGCGCCGUAGCUAACGCAUUAAGUGCCCCGCCUGGGGAGUACGGCCGCAAGGCUAAAACUCAAAGGAAUUGACGGGGGCCCGCACAAGCGGCGGAGCAUGCGGAUUAAUUCGAUGCAACGCGAAGAACCUUACCAAGGCUUGACAUUCACCGGACCGCCCCAGAGAUGGGGUUUCCCUUCGGGGCUGGUGGACAGGUGGUGCAUGGUUGUCGUCAGCUCGUGUCGUGAGAUGUUGGGUUAAGUCCCGCAACGAGCGCAACCCUCGUUCUAUGUUGCCAGCACGUGAUGGUGGGGACUCAUAGGAGACUGCCGGGGUCAACUCGGAGGAAGGUGGGGAUGACGUCAAAUCAUCAUGCCCCUUAUGUCUUGGGCUUCACGCAUGCUACAAUGGCCGGUACAAAGGGUUGCGAUACUGUGAGGUGGAGCUAAUCCCAAAAAGCCGGUCUCAGUUCGGAUUGAGGUCUGCAACUCGACCUCAUGAAGUCGGAGUCGCUAGUAAUCGCAGAUCAGCAACGCUGCGGUGAAUACGUUCCCGGGCCUUGUACACACCGCCCGUCAAGUCACGAAAGUUGGUAACACCCGAAGCCGGUGGCCUAACCCCUUGUGGGAGGGAGC